rnacentral:rRNA from 1 species
UACGUAGGGGGCGAGCGUUGUCCGGAAUUAUUGGGCGUAAAGAGCGUGUAGGCUGUUCGGUAAGUCUGCCGUGAAAACCUGAGGCUCAACCUCGGGCGUGCGGUGGAUACUGCGGAUCUUGAGACCGGUAGAGACUGGUAGAAUUGCAGGUGUAGCGGUGGAAUGCGUAGAGAUCUGCAAGAAUACCCGUGGCGAAGGCGGCCAGUUGGGCCGGUUCUGACGCUGAGGCGGCGAAAGCGUGGGGAGCAAACAGG